rnacentral:lncRNA from 1 species
CGCUUAUUAUACCUUCGCCACUAUCUCACGAAUGAUUGACUGUAGAUCAUUGAGAACUUUUCAUAGGUUGUAAUGUAGGCUUCAAAAUGGGUUGGAUGAAUAUUUGGGAAUGUACUGGCUAUAUCCUCCUUGAACUCUACAUACAUUAUGCUCCUUUACUACAUAGCACUUAUUUACCUCGGGUUACCGGCGUAUAACAACCUUAAUGUAUUUCUUCAAUUUCCAUAAGACUUCA